CUCGGCAACGGAUAUCUCGGCUCUCGCAUCGAUGAAGAACGUAGCGAAAUGCGAUACUUGGUGUGAAUUGCAGAAUCCCGUGAACCAUCGAGUCUUUGAACGCAAGUUGCGCCCGAAGCCUUCGGGCCGAGGGCACGCCUGCCUGGGCGUCACGCAUCGCGUCGCCCCCCCAAUCCGCUC
rnacentral:rRNA from 1 species